AACUCUUGAAUAACCGAGCAAGCAUUGAAAAAAAAUAUAUAUAUAGAAAAGAGAAACAUUAUUUUGUGAAUAUAAUGGGAAAAGAAAAAGAAAAAAAAUAGGAAAAUGAAAAUGAAUGCUUUCUUGGAAGAAAAAUAAUGAAAAACAAAAUUGAGUUGUGAAAUAAGAGUUGUGAAGGUUUCAAAUGAGAAACAAGUGGAACGAUGUUGAGAUGUGUGAAUAGCUUGUAUAGUGAAUGUCUCUUUUGCAUCGGCAAGUUUGUUUUCAAUGGCCUUAGAUAUGACCCUUGUUUGUAA
rnacentral:lncRNA from 1 species